AAGUGAAAUAUUGCAUUGACAAAAAUAAAACCUCCUGCAUUGAGACAACAAAAGUACUAAAGAACAGAACUUUUGAAAAACAGUAUUCCUUUUUUUCUUUUUGCCUAUUUAUAUAUUAAUUUCCUGAAGGGUGGGGAAAAUGUUGCUGUGGCCCAUUACAUGGUGAGUCAGAGAGGAACAGGCCGACAUUCCCACAUCACUGGAUGCAGUGUACAUAAUCAAAGAUGAUACAUGGUUGUGUAACAAAUUAGGAUCAUGAACGUCAGAUAUAUUUUUAAAAUACUGAAAAGGAAAUUCCUGUUAUAUACAUGCAAUUGCAAAAUUUGGACUAAUUGUUUUUGUAUUUUUUUAAUCUACAGAAUUGAAAGAUUAUGGAGAUUGUAUGGAAAUGUUCUCGACUUGUUCCAUACACUAUUUCUCAAUUUGGAAUUUGAAGGGUUUCCAAACCCUGACAAUGAACUGGAGUUAUUCGCUCUCCACUGGAUCUACGUCCCACAGCUGCAGCAACGUCUUCAGGCAUUCAAGGAAGCCUGGAAUCACCAUAGUUUGAGGACAGAGAGAAGGCAAUCCCCCAUGCAACUGUGGUUUAGUCAGCCACGUGAGGGAAAUGCUGCUGAUCCAGUUGAGGUUGCUGCUGAUUAUGGAAUAGACUGGACAGGACCUCACACCCCAUACCCAGAGGGUGUCACUGUACCUGAUGCACAACUACCCCAGCAGCUUACCCAGGCUGAAGUUACAUCAUUGUCUGAUCCGGCAGUCCCUUUUUCUGCUGCACUACGGGCAUACAUGGAUACAGUGUAUCAAUCAAUCAAUCAAUCUUUAUUGGUCAUUGCACAUUUUCAUAUACAACGAAAUUUCAUUUGAGCUGCCCUGCCAAUGACAGCUCCGGCUGCUGCGCAGUGCUGCGCGCACCUUUCUUGAAGAAAAAAAGAAAAAGGACAUGUUGGGAUCUGGGUAGGGAUUGCAAAGGGUAAAGGAAAAAAAAGGCUCGUUGUACCAAAUGAAACCUCCAAUGUUGGGAAAUUCAAUUUGAGAAGGAACCUAAAAAAACAAACCCACAAACAGGCAAAGCAUGACGUUAGAAAAGGAUAGUUGGGAUAAGGAUGUGGGGUGGUGGAGGGGGGAGCACCGCACAGUUAGCCGGUUCCUGUGCAAGUGCACGGAUUCCUGGCUCCUGUGCAUAGCGAGGGAAGCUUGUGGAAGCGGGGGGGAGGGGGAUAUGGGAAUGUCUGUGCGAAUGUUUAGCUCAGUCCUCAGUUCAUGAGUCCGAAUGUUUGUGUAUGUGUGUAGCCCAUCUUCUUCCGUCUCAGACCUCCGGUGUCUCAGAUUCGCGAGGGUGGGAGCGCGAUAACACAGCAAGGUUGCUAUGGAGACGUCCUCGGUUGGCCCGGUCCAAAAGUCAACAGGUGUCCUUGGGAAAGUGGGGGGGGUUUAGGAGAGCUAUCUCUUGGCCAUGAAACUUCCAGAGGAGUUUGUUAUUGUUCCAGGGGCGCCAGAAUGUAAUCAGUUUCCUUCUUGUUUGGUCAGGAGAGAGGAACAAUUUCACCUUCCGGGCAUACAUCAACAAUUUUAGACCUCAGCUGUAGCGAUUCUCACCCUAAUGGCUUCCAAUCUGCGACUCAAAUCAACAGUCACACCAAGCAAAUUGUUCAUCUUACGAUUGAGUUCGUCAUACCGAGAAUCGGCAGCCAUGAUCCGUUCGUUUGCAUAGACCAGCAGAGUUUGGACGUCAUUUCUGUCUGCGGUCUUCCUGAUUUUCCAGAAGCUCAGGCCAGUGAACAAGCCGAUUAUCAGCAGGCCUGUCAUCAUAAAUCCAAAUAUAUAAACAUCUUCCACGUCCUCCACGGAUAGGGGUGCCAGGCACAUGAUCCCCUUCCACUUCCCCCAGGCGUCGAUCACGUAACCAGAGGCGAAACUCCCAUCCGGGCAGGUAGGCUCCCCUAGGCCUGUGCUCUUUGUGGCGACAAUCUUGUCAAUUGCGUUGAGAGACCAGUUAAUCAAUUCCAUGAUCGGUGUUUCAAAGGUCCAGUGCCAAGCAAUCGCUCCAAGUCAGACAAACGAGACGAAGACGAAGAAAUGCAGCAAGCAGGGAGACAUGAGGGUAGGGAGGAACAGAGAUAGCGGAGCAAGGAAAAGUGCGACCGCCUCCUACGAGAGCUGAGAGCAAUAUUCUUAAGAACAUUUUUCAACAAACCUAGGCCUAUCACAACUCACCUUAACAUGAUCAGAAUGAAACCGUUUGAAAUGGUCGAACAAGACUUGAAAGAAUGCUGCAAAUUUUUGGUGCAUAAUUUUAUGACAAGUUGUGAAUUUCAAAUAAAUGCCUGUGAAAACAAAAAUGUAAAAAAGCAAGACAUAACAAAGGGAUACAAAACUGCUUUUAUUGCAUGCUGAAUAAUUUGAAAGCAUUAAAACAAUGUGCCAAUAAAAAAAACAUUUUUUAACAGAACUGAUAAUUCUUUUCUUUAACUUCCACACAUUUAUAUUACAACUGUUCCCCAAACACAGUCUUCUCCAAGUGUGGAAACAUUUUGUUGUCACAGUUCAGAAAUGCACAAACCUGAACCAUAGUUCAGGUUUGUAAUCUUUUACAUAAAAAUAAGCUACUCCAUUAAUUCACUCUCUCAACUCUCACCUUUAAACUGUCUUCCUGCAACAACUCACUGGCCGCCACAUUUCUGUUACAUGUUAAAUGUCACACACAACAAUUUGAGCCUGGCAGCAGAAAAAACAAGAACUGUUGUGAACCUUCUCCUGAAGCAUGCAUUUGCCUCACAAGCUUACAUCACAUCAGAACAAUUGUCAAAACAACUAAACAUAUCUGCUUUAACAUUUUAUGCAUUUUGGUAACAUUAAUUGGCUGCAUAACACUUGAAGUUGUGACUUUAAACAAGUCCAAACCCUGUUUGAACAGAACUGACUGCUGCGUUCAGAGCCUCACAGAAAACAUCAUAAGACUUAUAGCGUGAAGGCAGCCGAAGAGUCUCCAUGCAUGUGCUUGACUGAGGCAUUUGUCCAUGCACAAUUUCCACAUGCAGCUCUUUUGGAAGAACCUUCCACCCCUGCCAGAACUUCAGAAGUUCCUGAAAACAUCGUGAGGAGGCUAUAAAAGCAUUUGGGACAAGAUUUUAUUAAAAUUACGGUACAUAAAUCGCUCACUGUGCUCUGUGCAACUGUAUGUUCAGGAAAUACAAAACGGUAAUGUAAGGUGUAUAUGUAGUUUUGGAUGUCAAGUCUAUACAAUUAUCAGCAACUUAAUGUAAGUUUAAAAAAUAUUAAUGAAAUCAGUAUUCCACAAUACUGCAUCAUACCUAUACAAACUAUCCAAGCCCAUCCCAUUUAGGUCAACUGAUGACCAGGUAGUUACGAUAUUAAAAUACAGCAACAGUACAGUAACGGUAUAAAAUACAAACUCGUAACAAAUAACUUGAAACUGGCAAGUGCAUUUAGUAAAACAACAUUUGAGUAAAAAGAACUUACCAGAACGACAAAGCCAAUUCUUAUACAAAAAUGAAACUUCAUUUCGUAAAUCACUAAUCUCUUUUGAUCUGCAGUGGCACACUGAAUUUCAGGUGCCAUCACAAAUAAACUACUGUUUGAAAACUUACCAUUUUCAAUGUAUUCUCUCAGAAAUCCAGAGAUAUGGCACUUUUCCUCCAGACUUGUGUCCUCAUCACUAUCGGAUUCCACUGGCCAAAUGAUGCAGUCCAGAAGUUGCUGUAUAAUUACAAUUAAAAUCACGUUACGCAAUGUUGCAUGUAUGUAGAUUUACAAUGUUUGCUUAUAAACAGUAAUCAGAAGCUAUAUUCAAACCUGUGGUGAGUACGAAACAGCACAGCUUCUUGGAAAUAGCAUUGGCCUGUGACGUGGGGUCAGAGACCGUGAAGAGGUCUGGUAUGACAAGAAAAGUCUUGACACCUCAGCUUUUAGAGAAAAGCAAUGAAGGAAGUGUUACCAGAAGCUUCCAGUUGCAUAUACUCUUUACUUUUCACAAAACCGUGUUCAAGUUCCCCUUGACUAUUCAUUGAACUGCCGAAUCGGAAGCUGAAAAGCUGACUUCAGCGUCGCACAAUGCACUUUCUGGCUAGUUUUACUAUAACUCAACAAAAGAAGUAAUAACUACUUACCAUCAAUGGGGUCUCUUGUUAACAGCGUUGAAUCCGACUGUCUCGGCGACGGGGUGUUUGGAUGUGCUUGCUCAUCCAGCCUGUCAGCUUCUUCUCUGACCAACUGAGAUACUGACUUCUUCAUAUCCCGCUACAGAGUCCAAACAUUGAGAAAUCCAGCUACUCUGAUCCGCUGAAAGUGUCACGUUCGUGUAUUUGCAAACUGCGUUGUCUGCACUUCCUCUCAGCGCCAAGGUAACAUCACUUCCGUUUAGCCGGGCUAGGAGCUAUCGCCAAGCAGGAAUCCUGUGAUCAGGUACGAUUACUCACCCUGGACAGAAAGCCCCGCCCAGAGCCAUUUGAUUGACAGCUCAGUCCACCAAGUCAAGCCAAGGCUUUUGACUUUGCUUUUACUUGAUGGACUGAGUGCCAAAAGGAAAAGGCAAAUGCAAAACGGAAAAGACAAUGACAAACUGGAAAAAUAAAAGGAAAAAAAGAGAAAAGGGAAAACCAAAGAGAAAAUUUCCCUUUUUAUUUAUUUAUUUCUCUUUAUAUUUAUUUAUUUAUUUCUCUUUAUGUUUAUUUAUUUAUUCAUUUAUUUCUCUUUAUAUUUCCACAUUUAUUUCCACAAUUAUUUAUUUCUCUUUAUAUUUCCACAUUUAUUUAUUUAUUUCUCUUUAUAUUUCCACAUUUAUUUAUUUAUUUCUCUUUAUAUUUCCACAUUUAUUUCCUUAUUUAUUUAUAUUUUAUUGUGACACUCCUGUGACUCCAUACUUAAAGCUUUAAGUAAGGCUAAGUGCUUUUUUCAAAAUUAAAUAUUACCACUCCUUGGGUGGUAGUUCAGUAAACUGCAGCUUGAAAGACAGCUACUUUUGAUAAGUAAGACAAUGUAGCACAUUGUCUGCCUUACAACGACGGGAAAGAGGCAUUGUUUAUCUUUUGACAAAGUAUAUCUAAUGCUGGAAUGCUGGAAGUCUGAAUCUGUGAAUAUUUUUCCAACUUUACUGAACUGUGGCCCCAAGAAGCCGUGGUGGCCGUCCUUUAUUUUAAUUUCUGAAAGGUGGCAACCCUGGAGCUGCCAAUGAUCAGAGUUUGUUUCUCAGCGGGUGUGUCGUUGAGUGGGGAAAAACGAUUAGAAACGUGAAGGGGUUUGUGGUGUGCCGGGACAGCGGGUUGAGUUUAGGACUACGUUUCCUACGAACUGUCAUCCAGCUACCUUGACUUCCCGGCUGCUCGGGAGCUGCUAAGGCACGGCUAUCAGAAGCUACACUUGCAGCUAUGCUAUUGCGGGCCGUGCGCGUCUGCUCCCAAACUGCAGGGGGCAGUGUAUCCCUAACACACGUCUACCUGGUCUACUCUAGUAAUAAACUAGGGAAGAAGAAGUCUGCUUCCAAACUGCCGGGGGCAGUGUAGCUCAAACACACAGAAGAAAGGAAAACAUUCAGUAAUAUAGAAGAACAACGAUAAAUCAUCAUAAUCAGAACAAUAAUAAUGGUAACUACUCAUCAUGGUCAUGAAAGGGGAUUAAAGUCUAGCACUAAGUCCUCGUCCCUCCCCAGGAAAAAAACAUUGUGUACCAUGGCAUACAGUAGAGAGAACAGCGAGGGAGGAGCAGCACUGGAAGAAGCACUAACAAGCUGUGGACAUCGACACAGCGACACCUGGUCUACUCUGGUACUAAACUAGAGAAGAAGAAGUUUGCCAUGGUUUACACCACUUACAACACGGCAUUUUACCAAAUAAAAGCAUUUCAGCAGUUAGUUUUAUUUCACACCAUGAAUAGUUCAUAACCCGGUUACCACGGUGAUCUCUGUGAGAUGAAUCAUAUAGGUGCACGUAUUUCUAGACUUCAGCUACGAGUAGGUCCUGGCCCUCCGCCAUGUUUUUCCGUGCGGCUCCGUCCGCGUUGGUUAGAAAAAUGUUGAGGUGUGUGGAGCGAAAAUUUUCCGCACGGAAAGGCCGCCGGAGGGGGCGGGGUGCGAAAAUGACGUAAUUUUUCCGCACGGAGCCGCACGGACCUCGCGGACGCGGUAAGCAUAAAACAAGUGUGGCGAGCGCAGGGGUCGGGGAUAAACUAACGUGCUACAAUUACUGAAUGUAGACACUGGCCAGACAACGCCACCCUGGGACUUUCACCCAGGGAAUUAUAACCACCACUAACGAGAAGGCAACUCAGGUUCGUUCCACUGAUGAGGCAAGAGAUAUGAUUCCAGUGCAGACAAAAAAUACAAAUUUUAUUUAAUACUAAAAAUACUCAGUUUAAAACCAAAAAAAAAAAAAAAAAAAAAAAAAACAACCAUUCACACGAGAUUGUUAAAUGACGGGUUUGGGGACUAAUCAGAGCUGGGGGCUCUCUGGUGGAGGUUUGGGCCAACGGGCAUCACAAGGGAGCCCAGGAGAAAUCACCCCACUCACACGUGAACGUGAACAUGCGCACGCGCACACACACACACACACACACACACACACACACACACACACACACACACACACACACACACACACACACACACACACACACACACACACACACACACACACACCUGAGUGAAGAAA